GAUGAACGCUGGCGGCGUGCCUAAUACAUGCAAGUCGAACGCUGGAGAUCUAGCUUGCUAGCUCGAAGGAGUGGCGAACGGGUGAGUAAUACAUAAGCAACCUACCCACGAAGACUGGGAUAAUCUCUGGAAACGGGGACUAAUACCGGAUAGGUAAUCGGAAGGCAUCUUCUGGUUAUUAAAGGUUAAAAACACUGGUGGAUGGGCUUAUGGCGCAUUAGUUAGUUGGUGAGGUAACGGCCCACCAAGACGAUGAUGCGUAGCCGGCCUGAGAGGGUGAACGGCCACAUUGGGACUGAGACACGGCCCAGACUCCUACGGGAGGCAGCAGUAGGGAAGUUUCGGCAAUGGGGGCAACCCUGACCGAGCAACGCCGCGUGAGUGAAGACGGCCUUCGGGUUGUAAAGCUCUGUUGUAAGGGAAGAACGGUAGAUAGAGAAUAUCUAAGUGACGGUACCUUAACAGAAAGCCACGGCUAACUACGUG
rnacentral:rRNA from 1 species